rnacentral:lncRNA from 1 species
CUACAUCGUAGCCCUAGCGAGGGAAAUUAGUUCAUGACAAAAGAAAAUAUAAACAAGAGAAUUAUUGUCAUAAAACCAAUUUGGCCGAUGGACUUGAUCUUCAAAAUCUUCACAGGAACACCUUCAAAAGCUCCUCAAAUAAAGCAGCAACAAAUUCUUGGCUCUCUCUGAUAUUUCUCUGGUUGACUGAAAGUUGGUGGAAAAAUAUGGUAGAGAAGACGAUGGUGGAAAAAAAGAUGAUCUGGCUAUUAGGUUAAAGCUUUGUAUUUAUAGGCCAAGGGACUCCUCCAAAAAUAAGGAAGAUAAUAUUUAUUUAGGAAGGAAAGGAAAAAUAGGAAUGUAUUAAAAAAACAAUACCUAUUCUCAAAAGGAAGAGUAACAUGCAGC